CCUACGGGAGGCAGCAGUAGGGAAUCUUUCACAAUGGGCGAAAGCCUGAUGGAGCAACGCCGCGUGCAGGAUGAAGGCCUUCGGGUUGUAAACUGCUUUUAUAAGCGAGAAAUAUGAUGGUAACUUAUGAAUAAGGAUAGGCUAACUACGUGCCAGCAGCGGCGGUCAUACGUAGGAUCCGAGCAUUAUCCGGAGUGACUGGGUGUAAAGAGUUGGGUAGGGGGCAUAAUAAGUAGCUAGUGAAAUCUGGUGGCUCAACCAUUCAGACUAUUAGCUAAACUGUUAAGCUCGAGACCGUUAGGGGUAACUGGAAUUUCUAGUGUAGGAGUGAAAUCCGUAGAUAUUAGAAGGAACACCAAUAGCGUAGGCAGGUUGCUGGGACGGUUCUGACACUAAGGCACGAAAGCGUAGGGAGCAAACGGGAUUAGAUACCCCUGUAGUC
rnacentral:rRNA from 1 species